rnacentral:tRNA from 2 species
AGCAGCUUGGCGCAGUGGAAGCGCGGUAUGUCUUGACUCCACCUGCAACUCAUUAACAGAGUACUAACUCAUCACAGCCGGGCUCAUAACCCGGAGGUCACUGGAUCGAAACCAGUAGCUGCUA